GGCAACGGGAGCCCGCACAAGCCAGCGGGGCACCGGCUGCCGUCAGGCGUCGGCGUUUUCCUGUCAGAAGUGGUCAGGACGAGCUGAGGCAGUGCGGUGGCUGCGGGUGGUCCCGUCCGUCUGUCCCGUAAGAGCUGUGACUGGAAAAGUUUGAGGAUUGCAGCUCGUUUUAUUUUUAACUGCCGGCCCGUUAAUCAGUAAUGCCUUGUAGCGUCUGUCAGUAGCUGGUGUGCAAACCCCCACUGAGAAGUGUGCCUAUGCAAGCUCACACAACGCUGUCUACACGCUUGCUGCGUAAUCAUCAUCUCAAAUCUUGAGCUUUAAUUAAAAGGGAUUAAUGCUGCUAAUCCACUGUUCCCAAAUUUGGCCAGCUGCUUGCGCAACUUGUUUGUGCAAUGGUUGUGUAUCUAUGAUGUGUUGCUUCAUGGCUCUGCAGAAUGCAGGAUGAAUGGUAUGAUGAGGCCAGUGGCCUUAUACUGCGACAGCUGUUAGAUCCCAAGGAGUCUCACUGCUCAUACAGUUACAUGGAUGUGGAUUUCUCCUCCUUUGAGAAGAUCUGGAAGAGCUAGAAGCAUACCAAUAAACACUCCUGGGUGACAAUAAGCAGCAGCUCUAAGAUACAAAGCAAAUGGUUUUUCAGUCUGUGAGUUUUAUAUUUUGGUUGUCACUGUUUUGUGAUGUGACACUGGUACAAUCCAAUGGCUUGCACAUACACAACACAGCAAAGAGUGAUGCCGUGUGGUGUUCAUACAUGCAGUAGAUGUAGUGGUGUCAGUAUCUGCCUUAAGAAAAGUAAAUAAGCCAUAAAUUCCAAGCUUCAUCCUCAGAAAUACUGAAAGUAGUUGAGGAAAUCUGUUAAAGAUGCUGAUAAUGCUGAGGAAGAAUCAGAAAGAACAAGGAGUAGGAAUAGCCACAAAAGGCGAUACCCACAGAAAACCAUGAAGAAAUGAGACAGAAAAGCUGUCAAGAAAACCCUGCAUUAGCACAACUACUAAUGGGUCACGACCAAACAGCAGACGCAGCACGAAGGAAGAGCAUGGACAUUUAAAUAGAGCUUCUUUGCAUCCUGAUUGAUAUUGGCUAAAAGUCUGUGCCCUGUGGUGAAACCUCACUCUGUUUAGGGACUUUCUGGAAUGUCAUUUCUAGCAUUCCUCCCUUUGCCGUGAGAGACUACGCUCCAGCGGAGUUUCUUCCCUUCAGCUGAAUACAUGCAUACAUCUAGAUUGUGUUUACCUUUGCAACUGCUUGUGUGAUUAUAGCCAGCACAGAUAGAAGAGCACAGCACCUUGACUUUUUCAGGUAGAUGAGAUAAGCUCUUGUCAUUUCUGAGGAAGGAUGCUGUUACAUGUAACGUACUUCAUCUGAAAUGCUUCACCAUAGUCCUGAUUAGGCAGAAGCCUUCUUUAGAAACAGAUUGUGGUUAGUACUCAGGACAUGUUCAGGCUUGUUAUUUUCUAGAGUAUCCAGAAAUCAAGGGAAGUGGCUCUGAUUUUUUUUUUUAAUUAAGAAGUUUCUGCUGUUUUAUCAGAAUAUUUUCUGGUUAUAAAAUACCCCCAACAAGUGAUGCAAAAGAAAAUACACUGAUGGGAGCUUUUCCAAAGCUUCUUUUUUAAUGAAAUAAAUGUGUCAAAAAGGAAUAAAGGAAUGUAAGGGUUACAGAGAAAGGAAUAUAAGGAUUAAACACAAGUUGGACCAAACAAGAUUUGACAUCCAGUUUCUAUUUUGAGAUUAUUCAUUUUCUCCCCAUUAGGCUGUUCAGACCCAAACUGAGUGAGUUCCCUCUAAACUAGUGAUUCAUAUUUCACUCUGAGCAUCUCAUAUUCCUUGUAUUGAUGUGGAAAUCUGUGUUUUUGGUAGAGCUGAUUAAUUUAUUUUUCCCCCUCCAUUGGAAAUAUGUGUCCAGAAAUGUGUAUGUUUCAUUUCUGUGCCUGCUUAUUUUUAUUUAUUUUUAAUGGCUUCUCUCCCUCUCAUCAGGAGCAUAUGUAUGAUGCAGGUUGCCAUGGUAAAUAUGAAUUUUUUAUUAGCAGUGUAAAUAUUAAUUUAAAACAUGGUAACUGAGAUUUUAACACUGCUUUGGAGAUUUUCCUGCUCCUGAGGUGAUAGAAAUGAUGUAUGAGGUUAAAAAUGUGAAAAACAACGUCUUGGGGAGGAGAUCCUGAAGUGGUAGUACAACAGCCUAAGGGCACAGAAAUGUAGGGUAUUCGUGAAGCAAAGGCGAUAGGUCAGGCAUAAGCUUGCUGAAAGUUAAUACUAGAGAAGACAUGGAACCAAGGUUCAAGUUUUAAACUCUUUCCU